rnacentral:rRNA from 1 species
CCUACGGGGGGCUGCAGUGGGGAAUAUUGGACAAUGGGGGGAACCCUGAUCCAGCCAUGCCGCGUGUGUGAAGAAGGCCCUCGGGUUGUAAAGCACUUUCAGUGAGGAAGAACGCCUGGUGGUUAAUACCCAUCAGGAAAGACAUCACUCACAGAAGAAGCACCGGCUAACUCCGUGCCAGCAGCCGCGGUAAUACGGAGGGUGCGAGCGUUAAUCGGAAUACUGGGCGUAAAGCGCGCGUAGGUGGCUUGAUAAGCCGGUUGUGAAAGCCCCGGGCUCAACCUGGGAACGGCAUCCGGAACUGUCAAGCUAGAGUGCAGGAGAGGAAGGUAGAAUUCCCGGUGUAGCGGUGAAAUGCGUAGAGAUCGGGAGGAAUACCAGUGGCGAAGGCGGCCUUCUGGACUGACACUGACACUGAGGUGCGAAAGCGUGGGUAGCAAACAGGAUUAGAUACCCCGGUAGUC